GUUUAUUUGUUUAGGUAGCACUUAAAUGGACACUAUAGGCACCCAGACCACUUCAUCUCAUUGAAGAGGUCUGAGUGCAGUGUUCCUGUCCCCCUUAGCCACAGUACAGUUUACUUAGAAUGAAGUGGACUGACUACACUGUGCCAGUUCUUACUGAUAACAUUUUUAAAAUGCCCUCCAGAAUAUCGAUGUUAUCACUGCUAGUCUAAUCAGUCAGUCCUCUCCAAAGUAACUGCACAUGGUAAAACAUUAAGCAAUCAGAGAAAUGGUGGAUUAGAAUGCAAUGAGGUAGGUAAGUGACAAGAUAUCCAUACUAAAUGCUACAUUUCUUUACCUGUAUACUUUCUCUUUUUGGUCAGCUGGUAUACACCUGUAAGUUCUUUUUUUAUCACCAUGUUUGUAUUGAUCCAUAUCUAGUACACCUAAUAACCAACCAUGAAGUAUUAGAUAGAGCA